CAUGCUCUUCCUUCAUCUGUCU
rnacentral:misc_RNA from 1 species